CCCCCAAAAAACGGAGCCAACUCUUCCAAUAAUGUAGUACCAAAAACGACUUCUAGCCCAGGUCUGUAUAACAUAAGGCCCAGGGGACAGAUCAGGCCUGCAGGGACUUUUUUUGCUGGCCCCCAGGUAGGAAUGCCUUGCAGCAGGACAUUCCUAGGAUUGCAUGCCAAGAACUGCAGUCUGAAAGAAAUUGUAGUGAAAGGAGAGGUAUUCAUUUGGGAGUGUCAUAUGGAACUUGACAUUUGUUUGGGGCUGGCCUGGCCCCAUUCCAGGAGCCCCACUGACUGAGCAGGGACAGGGACUAUUUUAUGGCCACGAUCCUUGGUUAAAAUUGUGGGUCUCUUGAUAGGGGAAAAGAUCCAUAAGAAACGAAUAAUUUAUUUCAUUAAUGAUUUCAGUAAUUAAUUUUAUUGAACUAGUGUGCAGUGAAAAUUGAUUACGGCUCUUGUAUGCCAAGUCAUGGUCAGUUCUGGCCUACUGGCACAUUUGGGUUGUGCUCCCCUGGGCUAGCCCUUCCACCCCACCAUGCCCCACACCUUUGCUGGGAGGUGUACAAAAAGCCAGGCUAGGGAGUCUGAGAGAGAUAAUUCCACAAUCAGUGCUGCCUCCAAUUACUUCUGGCAGACUCUCAGUUCCAGAUGAACUGGCUGUAGUUGGUGAAAGCUUCUGCCACAGAAAACUGAUGUGUCCUAAAGGUGUCGCAACAUAAGAACAGCCCUGCUGGAUCAGGCCCAAGGCCCAUCUAGUCCAGCAUCCUGUUUUGCACAGUGGCCCACCAGAUGCCGCUGGAAGCCACAGGCAGGACUUGAGGGCCUGCCCUCUCUCCUGCUGUUACUCCCCUGUAACUGGUUCUCAGAGGCAUCCUGCCUUUGAGGCUGGAGGUGGCCUGUAGCCCUCCAACUAGUAGCCGUUGAUAGACCUCUUCUAUCAUUUGUCCAAACCCCUCUUAAAGUCUUCCAGGUUGUUGGCUGUCAUCACAUCUUGUGGCAGAGAAUCCCACAAGUUGAUUAUGUGUUGUGUGAAAAAAUACUUCCGUUUGCUGAUCCAAAAUUUCCUGGUAAUCAAUUUCAUGGGAUGACCCCUGGUUCUUGUGUUAUGUGAGAGAGAGUAUUUCUCUCUGUCCACUUUCACCACACCAUGCAUGAUUUUAUAGACCUCUAUCAUCUCUCCCCGCUGUCAUCUUUUUUCUAAACUAAAUAGCCCCAGGUGUUGCAGCCUUGCCUCAUAAGCAAGGUGCUCUAGGCUCCUGAUCAUCUUGGUUGCCCUCUUCUACACCUUUCCCAGUUCUACAAUGUCCUUUUUUAGAUGUGGUGACCAAAAUCUGUUGGCUUUGCAGCCGCCCAGCUACCCCUCUGGAAGAUCCUGCUUGGCAACGUCUUGACCAGCAACUGCCUCUGCCUGUGUUGUGUUGGGCAGCAGGAGUACUGGCCAGGUUCAAGCAGGCCUCUCAAGAGCCCCAAACACUAUCUGUGCUGGUUUUACUUAGUCUUUUUUUUGGACCAGUUAGGCUCCUGUAGUUGCCUUGCUGCUUUGGCUGAUGGGUGGAGUUUUAUUCCAUAGGCGUUACGCAGCAACAAACUGAUUCCCAUAGAUCAGGCCUGCUCAACUUAGGCCCCCCAGCUGUUUUUGGACUACAACUCCCAUAAUUCUCAGCCACAGCAGCCAAUAGCCAGGAAUUAUGGGAAUUGUAGGCCAACAUCUGCAGGAGGGCCGAAGUUGAGCAGGCCUGCCAUAGAUACAGAAUGGAAGAGCUACUGCUGAAAAUCUGUGGGGCUAUUCACACGCAUAGGCAAAACCAGACUAAGGAAGCGCAACUUUCCCGGCAGUGGUGCAGCAGCAAACCCUGUAGGGAGCCCUGGCUGUUAGUGCGAGCACAUUCUUACCCCUGACUAACUGAUCGUGUGUCGGUGCUGUGUGGCUCCACAUGGCACCUACACUCAAGUAGCCUCCUGGCCUGCGUCCCAUAAUCGUGCAGUGCAUUGUGGGAGUUCCGGGCUUCCCAGCUCCAAAACCUCCCGGUGACUGUCUGGGUGAGCGCAGCCAGACCACAAGGAUCCUCUCUGGGAAAGGGUCGUCAAGACAAGCCACCCUCACAUACAUCAAAGAGCGAACACUAUAGCACAUCAAAAUCCUGAAUUAAAAGUUGUUGCUCUCCAGCCAGGAAUAUUUCCACCCUUGACUAAAAGUAUUAGUUUAUGAAAUGCAUCAAUCACUGGACCGAGUCACUAUCAGACGCUAAAACCACCUUCUGACCAAUUAAGCUGAUCAAAUGGACUUUCACAUUUGGCAUUCCCUUUAUUGUCAAUGCUACAAUUUGCAACCAUUUUAGACAGUGCUAACAUUGGCCCCUAGACCACCUUAUCUAGCAGCUGCAUCUCCCAGAACGCAAUGGUUUUUCAAUAUAUUGCAAUUAUACUAAUUGAAUGUAUUGCUUUAUUUUCCCAAUUCCCUGUCAAUGUGCAAUUUCUAAUUCUCUUUUUAAUAAAUUUGAUUGAUUUUCA